rnacentral:rRNA from 1 species
CUACGGGAGGCACCAGUGGGGAAUUUUGCGCAAUGGGGGAAACCCUGACGCAGCGAUACCGCGUGAGUGAAGAAGGCCUUUGGGUCGUAAAGCUCUUUUCUAAGGGAAGAUAGUGACGGUACCUUAGGAAUAAGCGCCGGCUAACUCCGUGCCAGCAGCCGCGGUAAUACGGAGGGCGCGAGCGUUGUUCGGAUUUACUGGGCGUAAAGGGCGCGUAGGCGGCCUGGCAAGUUAAGGGUGAAAUCCCGGGGCUCAACCCCGGAACUGCUCUUAAAACUGCCAAGCUAGAGAUGGUCAGAGGCGGGUGGAAUUCCAGGUGUAGAGGUGAAAUUCGUAGAUAUCUGGAGGAACACCGGUGGCGAAGGCGGCCCGCUGGGGCCAUUCUGACGCUGAGGCGCGAAAGCGUGGGGAGCGAACGGGAUUAGAUACCCUCGUAGUC